CCUACGGGUGGCAGCAGUGGGGAAUUUUGGACAAUGGGCGCAAGCCUGAUCCAGCCAUGCCGCGUGAGUGAAGAAGGCCUUCGGGUUGUAAAGCUCUUCGCGAGAACACCCGGUACCGGAAGAAGAAGGACCGGCUAACUACGUGCCAGCAGCCGCGGUAAUACGUAGGGUCCGAGCGUUAAUCGGAAUUACUGGGCGUAAAGCGUGCGCAGGCGGUUUUGUAAGCCGGAUGUGAAAGCCCCGGGCUUAACCUGGGAAUGGCAUUUGGGACUGCAAGGCUGGAGUACGGCAGAGGGAGGUGGAAUUCCAGGUGUAGCAGUGAAAUGCGUAGAGAUCUGGAGGAACACCGAUGGCGAAGGCAGCCUCCUGGCUGUACUGACGCUCAUGCACGAAAGCGUGGGGAGCAAACAGGAUUAGAUACCCUUGUAGUC
rnacentral:rRNA from 1 species